rnacentral:lncRNA from 1 species
CCGGACUCCUACGGGAGCCGGACUUCGUCUCUGACUCUAACUGCAAGAAGACUUCAUCCGAACUCCUACGGGAGCCAGACUUCAACCCCGACUUCGACUACAGGAAGCCUUCAUCCGGACUCCUACGAGAGCCGGACAUCAUCCCUGACUUCAGCAGCAGGAAGACUUCAUCCGAACUCCUAUGGGAGCCAAACUUCAUCUCCGACUCCAAC